rnacentral:rRNA from 1 species
UGGGGAAUAUUGCACAAUGGGCGCAAGCCUGAUGCAGCUAUGCCGCGUGUGUGAAGAAGGCCUUCGGGUUGUAAAGCACUUUCAGCGAGGAGGAAGGUGGUGAACUUAAUACGUUCAUCAAUUGACGUUACUCGCAGAAGAAGCACCGGCUAACUCCGUGCCAGCAGCCGCGGUAAUACGGAGGGUGCAAGCGUUAAUCGGAAUUACUGGGCGUAAAGCGCACGCAGGCGGUUUGUUAAGUCAGAUGUGAAAUCCCCGGGCUCAACCUGGGAACUGCAUUUGAAACUGGCAAGCUAGAGUCUCGUAGAGGGGGGUAGAAUUCCAGGUGUAGCGGUGAAAUGCGUAGAGAUCUGGAGGAAUACCGGUGACGAAGGCGGCCCCCUGGANGAAGACUGACGCUCAGGUGCGAAAGCGUGGGGAGCAAAACAGAUUAGAUACCCUGGUAGUCCACGCUGU